AUCCAGACUCCUACGGGAGGCAGCAGUGGGGAAUAUUGCACAAUGGGGGAAACCCUGAUGCAGCGACGCCGCGUGAGCGAUGAAGUAUUUCGGUAUGUAAAGCUCUAUCAGCAGGGAAGAAAAUGACGGUACCUGACUAAGGAGCCCCGGCUAACUACGUGCCAGCAGCCGCGGUAAUACGUAGGGGGCAAGCGUUAUCCGGAUUUACUGGGUGUAAAGGGAGCGUAGACGGCAGUGCAAGUCUGGAGUGAAAGGCGGGGGCUCAACCCCCGGACUGCUCUGGAAACUGUACGGCUGGAGUACAGGAGAGGUAAGUGGAAUUCCUAGUGUAGCGGUGAAAUGCGUAGAUAUUAGGAGGAACACCAGUGGCGAAGGCGGCUUACUGGACUGUAACUGACGUUGAGGCUCGAAAGCGUGGGGAGCAAACAGGAUUAGAUACCCUAGUA
rnacentral:rRNA from 1 species